AGAAUCAACGCUGGCGGCGUGCCUAACACAUGCAAGUCGAACGAGAAAGUGGAGCAAUCCAUGAGUAAAGUGGCGCACGGGUGAGUAACACGUGACUAACCUACCCUUGAGUGGGGAAUAACUGAGGGAAACCUUAGCUAAUACCGCAUAAUACCUACGGGUCAAAGGAGCAAUUCGCUUAAGGAGGGGUCGCGGCAGAUUAGCUAGUUGGCGGGGUAAUGGCCCACCAAGGCGAAGAUC
rnacentral:rRNA from 1 species